AGUGAACGCUGGCGGUAGGCCUAACACAUGCAAGUCGAACGGCAGCACAGUAAGAGCUUGCUCUUACGGGUGGCGAGUGGCGGACGGGUGAGGAAUACAUCGGAAUCUACUUUUUCGUGGGGGAUAACGUAGGGAAACUUACGCUAAUACCGCAUACGACCUACGGGUGAAAGCAGGGGAUCUUCGGACCUUGCGCGAUUGAAUGAGCCGAUGUCGGAUUAGCUAGUUGGCGGGGUAAAGGCCCACCAAGGCGACGAUCCGUAGCUGGUCUGAGAGGAUGAUCAGCCACACUGGAACUGAGACACGGUCCAGACUCCUACGGGAGGCUGCAGUGGGGAAUAUUGGACAAUGGGCGCAAGCCUGAUCCAGCCAUACCGCGUGGGUGAAGAAGGCCUUCGGGUUGUAAAGCCCUUUUGUUGGGAAAGAAAAGCAGCAGGUUAAUACCCCGCUGUUCUGACGGUACCCAAAGAAUAAGCAUCGGCUAACUUCGUG
rnacentral:rRNA from 1 species